rnacentral:tRNA from 1 species
GUAGCUCAGUUGGUUAGAGCACAGCACUCAUAAUGCUGGGGUCGGCGGUUCGACUCCGCCC